AGGGUUUGAUCCUGGCUCAGAACGAACGCUGGCGGCAUGCCUCAUACAUGCAAGUCGAACGAGGUCUUCGGACCUAGUGGCGCACGGGUGAGUAACAUGUGGGAAUCUACCUGAAGGUUCGGAAUAACUGCGGGAAACUGUAGCUAAUACCGGAUGUGCCUGCAAAGAGAAAGAUUUAUCGCCUUCAGAUGAGCCCGCACUAGAUUAGCUAGUUGGUGAGGUAACUGCUCCACCAAGGCUCCGAUCUAUAGCUGAUUUGAGAGGAUGAUCAGCCACACUGGGACUGAGACACGGCCCAGACUCCUACGGGAGGCAGCAGUAGGGAAUAUUGGACAAUGGGGGAAACCCUGAUCCGGCAAUGCCGCGUGAGUGAAGAAGGCCUUCGGGUUGUAAAACUCUUUCAUCAAUGAUGAUAAUGACAUUAGUUGAAGAAGAAGCUCCGGCUAACUUCGUGCCAGCAGCCGCGGUAAUACGAAGGGGGCUAGCGUUGUUCGGAAUCACUGGGCGUAAAGCGUAUGUAGGCGGAUCAAAAAGUUAGAUGUGAAAUCCCUGGGCUCAACCCAGGAACUGCAUUUAAAACUAGUGAUCUAGAAUUUGGUAGGGGUUAGUAGAAUUUCCAGUGUAGAGGUGAAAUUCGUAGAUAUUGGAAAGAAUACCAGUGGCGAAGGCGACUAACUGGGCCAUUUUUGACGCUGAGAUACGAAAGCGUGGGUAGCAAACAGGAUUAGAUACCCUGGUAGUCCACGCAGUAAACGAUGAGUGCUAGUCGCU
rnacentral:rRNA from 1 species